UACGUAAGGGGCAAGCGUUGUUCGGAAUCACUGGGCGUAAAGGGUAUGUAGGCGGAUUGCCAAGUUGGAUGUGAAAUCUUCGGGCUCAACCUGAAAACUGCGUUCAAAACUGGUAGUCUAGAGUAUGGGAUAGGAAAACGGAAUUCCUAGUGUAGGAGUGAAAUCUAUAGAUAUUAGGAAGAACACCGAUGGCGUAGGCAGUUUUCUGGCCCAAUACUGACGCUGAGGUACGAAGGCUAGGGGAGCGAACGGGAUUAGAUACCCCGGUAGUCCUAGCCGUAAACGUUGUAUACUAGGUGUAUGAGGCAUCGAUCCCUCAUGUGCCGAAGCUAACGCAUUAAGUAUACCGCCUGGGGAGUAUGCCCGCAAGAGUGAAAACUC
rnacentral:rRNA from 1 species